AGUGAUGAGAGAUUUAUGUGGAUAUGAUAGCACUGGACACUUCGAGGCUCCAUUGGCAAAACCUGAAGCAAAUAGGAAACCAAGGGGAGACCUUUGACAUUUAAGAAGUAUGUGCCCUAAGAUUGCUACAGAUCCUGAAAUUCAUCACUACGGCAGAAUCACGCAUCUUGUGAAUGAACCAAGCUGGAGAAAAGACAGAUGCAGACCACCUUUUCUGAUUCCUAGGAGCCUUCUGGAAUUGGGCAUCUCACAUUAAUUCAUCUUCUGACAGAAACAGGCCAUCAGUACAACUUACACCAUAGUGAAUACUAUCAGUGCCUCUGGGAAAGAACAAGGUCUCAGAAAAUGUUACUGCAAAAUGAAGUCCUCAGAAGCAGCUCUCUCUCUGACCUUCUCCAAACCUCCGGUCUCUGGACCUUCAUUUCCGCCCCUCUCCUCCUCCCCACCACCGCC